rnacentral:rRNA from 1 species
UACCUGGGAGCGCUUGCCUACUCGAAGUCCAUCUCCGAUUCUGGCUUGGACUAUGCCCAUAGCGGGUGAAAGGCCCGUGCGGGUAGGCUGUGAUUGUUAAAGCGUUCCUUAGAUGUGCAUGCCUUCGAGUCGGAUUGCUUGAGAAUGCAGUCCAAAGUGGGUGGUAAACUCCAUCCAAGGCUAAAUACUGGCACGAGUCCGAUAGUAGACAAGUACCGUGAGGGAAAGUUGAAAAGUACUCUGAAGAGAGAGUAAAUAGCACGUGAAGCCGCUUGCAGGGAAGCUGGUGGAGUCAAGCUUCGUGUCGGUAGAAUUGACAUCAGAGGACUGUGAGUCUCGGGAUAUGGCGCGAGAUAGCCUGGAAACGGUUUGGUGCACUCACCUGCACUUCAAGUCAUUCCGGGUAGUGUGAUUGAACUUGUGCCUAUCUCCCACCUCUGGUGCUUUAUUCUGCCUGAUACACAUCACGGUCAAUAGUGGACAGAACUUGUACUGCAUGAAUGCUUAACCGUGCUUUGGUGGACCUAACCGUCUGCUGGGCAUGGAAUGGCAGAAGGCAUGUACGGGCCUCGGCUCGUUCUAUGCGUAUACUGGUUUCGACCUGCUAGUGUUCAUGUACUGUAUCAGCCCUAUUGUUUCUAUGCGUGGCUGGCUC